UACGGGGGGGGCAAGCGUUGUUCGGAAUUACUGGGCGUAAAGGGCUCGUAGGCGGCCAACUAAGUCAGACGUGAAAUCCCUCGGCUUAACCGGGGAACUGCGUCUGAUACUGGUUGGCUUGAAUCCGGGAGAGGGAUGUGGAAUUCCAGGUGUAGCGGUGAAAUGCGUAGAUAUCUGGAGGAACACCGGUGGCGAAGGCGGCAUCCUGGACCGGUAUUGACGCUGAGGAGCGAAAGCCAGGGGA
rnacentral:rRNA from 1 species